UACGGGGGGGGCAAGCGUUGUUCGGAAUUACUGGGCGUAAAGCGCGCGCAGGCGGGCUGGUCAGUCUGGGGUGAAAUCUCACGGCUCAACCGUGAGAGGUCCCUGGAUACUGCUAGCCUUGAGGGGCUCAGAGGAGAGUGGAAUUCACGGUGUAGCAGUGAAAUGCGUAGAUAUCGUGAGGAAGACCAGUUGCGAAGGCGGAUCUCUGGGCAGUUCCUGACACUGAGGCACGAAGGCCAGGGGAGCAAACGGG
rnacentral:rRNA from 1 species